rnacentral:misc_RNA from 1 species
UCCUGGUCUCACCCAGGCAGUUUCUAUAGAGUGCUCACCAUGAUGUGUUAGCAACUAAAGAUGGGGGUUAUGUUCGUUCUGGGACUUAGCCCAACACCUCACGGCACGAACUGACGACAGUCAUGUAGCACCUGUGCACGGGCCCUUAGAGGAAACCCCUAAGAGAGAUACCGUUUCCGGUACUGUCUCGUGCAUGUCAAGCCCAGGUAAGGUUCUUCGUGUUGCAUCGAAUUAAACCCCAUGCUCCACCGCUUGUGUGGAUCCCCGCCAAUUCUUUUGAGUUUCAGCCUUGCGGCCGUACUCCCCAGGCGGCAUACUUAACGCGUAAGCUUGGACACGGCAGGUCGUUGACUCUCCUACCACAUCGAGUAUGCAUCGUUUACGGCGUGGACUAC